UUGCAAUAGUAUUUAUUUGGGCUUUCUUAUCGAUAUAGGUAUAUCGAUAAGCAGCACAAAAACGCGAAAUUUUUUGUAUUAUUUACGUAUUUGGGUGAGCGAAUUUGCGACGAGUGGUCUAGUUUCAAGUUCGUAAUCCUAAAAUAUUGACGCAUCGGUGGUCGUUAACACUGUGAACAAGACGCCAUGUCAACGCAAAAUGUGGGAAAUGAAGAAAAUGCAGCCACAAAGUCAAAACGACCUUCAGAUUCAGCCUUUAAGCAACAACGCCUGCCCGCCUGGCAGCCAGUGCUGACCGCACGCACAGUUCUGCCCACCUUCUUUAUCAUUGGUGUCUUAUUCAUUCCCAUUGGCGUGGUGCUGCUGCACUUUUCUAACUCAUCCAAUGAACUCAUCAUCGAUUACACCAGAUGCAUGCAGGUGGGCAACAAUAUAACCUGCGCUGAUUUCUUGGAGGGCACAAUAAAAGGCCAGUGUCUGUGCGAGAUACCCUUCAAUCUGACUGAAGAUUUUAUUGGCAAUGUUUACAUGUAUUAUGGCCUAACCAACUACUAUCAGAAUCAUCGACGCUAUGUGAAAUCGCGCGACGAUGAACAGCUGUUGGGCCAUCUAUCCCUAACGCCCAGUUCGGACUGCACACCUUUUGCCUAUGCGGAUGACGGAAAACCGAUUGCGCCUUGCGGGGCCAUUGCCAAUUCUCUAUUUAAUGAUACCUUGACAUUGAGCCAAGGCAGCUCAAAAAUAAAAUUGUUAAACACGGGCAUUGCAUGGCCGUCGGAUAAGCGCGUGAAGUUCCGUAAUCCGCCCGGAGACCUGGCAACCGCACUGAAACCAUUUGCACAGCCCAUAUUCUGGACGAAAAGUGUCGAUGAAUUGGACACGGAAAAUGAAGCCAACAAUGGUUUCCAAAAUGAGGAUUUAAUCGUAUGGAUGCGCACUGCCGCCUUGCCCAGUUUUCGUAAACUCUACCGUCGCUUGGACCAAACAAACAAUAGUUAUUCGAAUGGGCUGAAAGCUGGCCAAUAUACGCUAACAGUGAAUUACAGUUAUCCCGUGGUAUCGUUUGGUGGCACCAAGCGUAUGAUUCUAUCGACAACCUCUGUACUUGGCGGUAAAAAUCCAUUCUUAGGCAUUGCCUAUAUUGUUGUGGGGGCCAUUUGUGUGACACUUGGAGUGGCCCUGCUAUUUAUUCAUAUGCGGUGCAGCCGGAGCGUUGAGUUCAUUUGAAGCUCAAAAGGCUCAAGUUCCAUCAAAGCAAAAAUAUCUAAAUGGCUGUCGAAUUUAACGAGCAGUUGCAGCAACAUGGAAAUGAUAAGCGUCAAUCCACAUACGCAAUACUCGUAGAGGCAUUGGAUUCGAUUAUGAUAGUACUUUUUGGCAAAGCUCCUCUUGCGACUGGGCACCACAUAUAUUUAGCUAUAGUAUCUUCUUUAAGCAUAAUAACUUAUGAAUGUUUUUGUAACAGAAUACACAAUUAGUUUCUAUUAGUAUUUACAACACUGUACGGCGUCGUUGGCUGUGUUGCUUUUUUUGUUACCAUAUUGUAAUGCUUACUUUGUUUUUGCACUUUUAAUUACAUAUAAUGUGUUUGUUAAUGUUUCGUGUAAUAAUGCCUUCUUAAGUAUUAGACUAUUGCCCCAACAAGACCAAAUAGCAAAAAUGCCUCACAAAGAAAUAUUAACAAAAGAAAACACAGAAAGUUCAACCUUAGACUAUUAGUGCCCAUGCCGUCAUUUAGCAGUGGGCAUUAACAAAUGUGUUUUGUAUGGCAACCAUUUUAAGCUGGCACUAUUCAAAUAUAUAUAAA